rnacentral:rRNA from 1 species
UACAGAGGGUGCGAGCGUUAAUCGGAAUUACUGGGCGUAAAGCGUGCGUAGACGGUUAUUUAAGUCGGGUGUGAAAGCCCCGGGCUCAACCUGGGAAUUGCAUUCGAGACUGAAUAGCUAGGGUACGGUAGAGGGAAGCGGAAUUUCCGGUGUAGCGGUGAAAUGCGUAGAGUAUCGGAAGGAACAUCAGUGGCGAAAGCGGCUUCCUGGACCAGU